AACGCUGGCGGCGCGCUUAACACAUGCAAGUCGAACGAGAAAGGGGAGCAAUCCCUGAGUAAAGUGGCGUACGGGUGAGUAACACGUGGGUGAUCUACCCUUUGGUGAGGAAUAACCCUGGGAAACCGGGGAUAAUACCGCAUAAGUCCGCGAGGAGAAAGUCGCAAGACGCCGAAGGAGGAGCCCGCGGCCGAUUAGCUAGUUGGUGAGGUAAGAGCUCACCAAGGCGACGAUCGGUAGCCGGCCUGAGAGGGCACACGGCCACACUGGCACUGAAACACGGGCCAGACUCCUACGGGAGGCAGCAGUGGGGAAUCUUGCACAAUGGGGGAAACCCUGAUGCAGCGACGCCGCGUGAGCGAUGAAGCCCUUCGGGGUGUAAAGCUCUUUCGGCAGGGACGAUAAUGACGGUACCUGCAGAAGAAGCUGCGGCUAACUACGUGCCAGCAGCCGCGGUAAUACGUAGGCAGCAAGCGUUGUUCGGAAUUACUGGGCGUAAAGAGUGCGUAGGUGGUUGGGUAAGUUAGGUGUGAAAUCUCCCGGCUCAACUGGGAGGGUGCGCCUGAAACUGCCUGGCUAGAGUGUGGGAGAGGGAAGUGGAAUUCCUGGUGUAGCGGUGAAAUGCGUAGAUAUCAGGAGGAACACCGGCGGUGUAGACGGCUUCCUGGACCAUUACUGACACUGAGGCACGAAAGCGUGGGUAGCAAACAG
rnacentral:rRNA from 1 species